rnacentral:tRNA from 1 species
AAAAAGGUAAGCUAAUUUUAAGCUUUUAGGUUCAUACCCUAAGUAUAGGUAUAUCCUUCUUUUUA